rnacentral:rRNA from 1 species
UACGUAGGGGGCAAGCGUUAUCCGGAUUUACUGGGUGUAAAGGGAGCGUAGACGGAAUUGCAAGUCUGAUGUGAAAAUCCGGGGCCCAACCCCGGAACUGCAUUGGAAACUGUAUUUCUAGAGUGUCGGAGAGGCAAGUGGAAUUCCUGGUGUAGCGGUGAAAUGCGUAGAUAUCAGGAGGAACACCAGUGGCGAAGGCGGCUUGCUGGACGAAGACUGACGUUGAGGCUCGAAAGCGUGGGGAGCAAACAGG